CUCUUUCAUAUUCAUUUGAUAAAAUUUACUGUUUGCAAUAGCAUGAAUUGUUCUAUAUAGUAAGAAUGUUCUUAUCCCGGGCAUAAAAACAAUGCCGUAUUUUGCGAAACCUUUUCAACUUUUGAUCUUCAGUGCUGUACAACUUUGUACUUUUUUCACUUUCGAUCUUUUAUAUCUGGGCGUCACUGGUGAGUCUUGUGUGGGCAAGGCGCGUUUUUGGCGUAUUGAAUUUUAAACCUGAUACUUUUUGUUAUCUAUUAAUCAUGUUUUUCUGUGUCUAAUAUGUUCUCCUAUUUAUUUGUAUUGUAGUCCUGUAAUAUUAUGUUGUCAUUUCAAUGUUAUAUUUAACUUUGCCAUUAAAGUGCGAGGUUUGGCAUGCCUUAAAACCAGGUUCAACCCACCACUUUUAUUCCCCUUUAAAAGUGUCCUGUACCAAGUCAGGAAGAUGGUCAUUGUUAUAUAUUGUUCGUUUCUCUUUGUGUUGCUUUUUAACGUUGAGUCGUUUGUGUUUUCUCUUAUUUUUGAGAUAUUGAGAUAAGACGUGGCACGGUACUUGUCUAUCCCAAAUUCAUGUAUUUGGUUUUCAUGUUACAUUUGUUAUUCUCGUG
rnacentral:lncRNA from 1 species